rnacentral:lncRNA from 1 species
GGGUAGUAUUUCAUUAGCCCUGUCAUGCUGUCAAAACUUUAUUAUAUGGUGGAUUAUAUAUUAAUUAAUCACUGCAGUAGGGGGUUUCUGUGGACUAGCCUUUUAGAGGGGCACAGUAAACCCCAUUAUAUUCUUACCUCGAACGGAGAGGCGAGUAAGGUAUCUCCUCGGGUAAAGCUUAGGGUUCACUUCACGCCAAACCACCACGUGAGGGGGAACUCAGCCAACGCCAAGGAACGGCUAUAUUUUCAAAACAAAAACAUGAUUUAUGUGAAAUGUGAAU